CACGUGACUAACCUACCCUUGAGUGGGGGAUAACUUCGGGAAACCGAGGCUAAUACCGCAUAAUACCUACGGGUCAAAGGAGCAAUUCGCUUAAGGAGGGGGUCGCGGUCGAUUAGUUAGUUGGUAGGGUAAUGGCCUACCAAGACUGUGAUCGAUAUCCGGCCUGAGAGGGCGCACGGACACACUGGAACUGAAACACGGUCCAGACUCCUACGGGAGGCAGCAGUGGGGAAUUUUGCGCAAUGGGGGAAACCCUGACGCAGCAACGCCGCGUGGAGGAUGAAGUCUCUUGGGGACGUAACUCCUUUCGACCGGGACGAUAAUGACGGUACCGGAAGAAGAAGCCCCGGCUAACUUCGUGCCAGCAGCCGCGGUAAUACGAGGGGGGCGAGCGUUGUUCGGAAUUAUUGGGCGUAAAGGGUGCGUAGCCGGUUUGGUAAGUCUUGUGUGAAAUCUUCGGGCUCAACUCGAAGUCUGCACGAGAAACUGCCGGGCUUGAGUAUGGGAGAGGUGAGUGGAAUUUCCGGUGUAGCGGUGAAAUGCGUAGAUAUCGGAAGGAACACCUGUGGCGAAAGCGGCUCACUGGACCAUAACUGACGCUGAUGCACGAAAGCUAGGGGAGCAAACAGGAUUAGAUACCCUGGUAGUCCUAGCCCUAAACGAUGAUCGCUUGGUGUGACGGGUACCCAAUCCCGCCGUGCCGAAGCUAACGCGUUAAGCGAUCCGCCUGGGGAGUACGUCGCAAGGCUGAAACUCAAAGGAAUUGACGGGGGCCCGCACAAGCGGUGGAGCAUGUGGUUUAAUUCGACGCAACGCGAAGAACCUUACCUGGGCUCGAAAUGUAGUGGAAUCCGGUGGAAACAUCGGCGCCUAGCAAUAGGCCCGCUAUAUAGGUGCUGCAUGGCUGUCGUCAGCUCGUGUCGUGAGAUGUUGGGUUAAGUCCCGCAACGAGCGCAACCCUUAUUACCAGUUGCUACCAUUUAGUUGAGCACUCUGGUGAGACCGCCUCGGAUAACGGGGAGGAAGGCGGGGAUGACGUCAAGUCCUCAUGGCCUUUAUGUCCAGGGCUACACACGUGCUACAAUGGCCGGUACAAACGUUCGCAAACCCGUGAGGGGGAGCUAAUCGGAAAAAGC
rnacentral:rRNA from 1 species